rnacentral:lncRNA from 1 species
AUGCAGCGACUCGAAUUCACCGAUCAACACAUCGUAGGGCCGUCGCUUCCUCGUGCUUGCCUUCGUCUUAAUCGAUUUUCCGGCGAGUUCCACCAUGAGUUCGUCUCAACUCUCCUCGAUUCGUUUCGUUUCUCACGAUCUUCCGUCUCGUCUCUGCCGCGAUCUGCUUUCCUCAACGCAUCGUUCUCGCGAGAGCCGCUCAUCAAUCUCUCAGAUCGAAACCAAAAACGAACUCCAGAGGUGAUGAGGGAGAUUUGUUGA